UUCGAUAGAAAUCUACCCAGGCCUUCGUUGCAACGACGAGGGCACGAGGUAGAACCGCCACGCCGGCAGCGGCUUUCUCCUCCUGGCAGAUCUUUCUGCCUGACCUCGCGACGAGGUCGCCGAGGUCUAAGGGACAUAACAGUCAAC
rfam:Pseudomonadales bacterium RIFCSPLOWO2_02_FTLL_63_210 rifcsplowo2_02_scaffold_683364, whole genome shotgun sequence.